GAAAUAUAGGCUAACCAUUCAAACCAUGGGCCUUCAAAGCCCAAACUGUGAACAACUCACUAUUCUGAUACCCUAAGACUGCGUA
rnacentral:tRNA from 1 species